rnacentral:rRNA from 1 species
GAUGAACGCUGGCGGCGUGCUUAACACAUGCAAGUCGAACGAUGAAGCUGGAGCUUGCUCUGGUGGAUUAGUGGCGAACGGGUGAGUAACACGUGAGCAACCUGCCCCUGACUCUGGGAUAACAGCCGGAAACGGCUGCUAAUACCGGAUAUGCACCAUGAACGCAUGUUCUGUGGUGGGAAAGAUUUUUCGGUUGGGGAUGGGCUCGCGGCCUAUCAGCUUGUUGGUGAGGUAAUGGCUCACCAAGGCGUCGACGGGUAGCCGGCCUGAGAGGGUGACCGGCCACACUGGGACUGAGACACGGCCCAGACUCCUACGGGAGGCAGCAGUGGGGAAUAUUGCACAAUGGGCGAAAGCCUGAUGCAGCAACGCCGCGUGAGGGAUGACGGCCUUCGGGUUGUAAACCUCUUUUAGCAGGGAAGAAGCGAGAGUGACGGUACCUGCAGAAAAAGCGCCGGCUAACUACGU